GCCUACGGGGGGCAGCAGUGAGGAAUAUUGGUCAAUGGGCGGAAGCCUGAACCAGCCAAGUCGCGUGAGGGAAGAAGGCCCUGCGGGUCGCAGACCUCUUUGGACGGGGAGCAAGGCCGCCGACGUGUCGGCGGAAGGAGAGUACCCGUAGAACAAGCAUCGGCUAACUCCGUGCCAGCAGCCGCGGUAAUACGUAGGGAGCGAGCGUUGUCCGGAAUUACUGGGUGUAAAGGGAGCGUAGGCGGGACUGCAAGUUGGGUGUCAAAUCUACCGGCUCAACCGGUAGCCGCACUCAAAACUGCAGU
rnacentral:rRNA from 1 species